CUCUGGCUGAGCCACCUGGGAGCCAUUGGUUUCCCCGGAGACUAAAGACUGGCUUUUGGGAAUGGCUAAUUUGCCUUGCAUCGCUUCCUCAGGUGUUCUGCAUACCUCCGGGGCUUCUUAAUGGCCAGCCUGGGGCUCAGCCCUCCUGCUUGCCUGUUCAGCGUUGUUCCUGCUCCAGAGACUGCAUGCCAGGACAGCUUCUCUGCUGCCAGACCUUUGCCUGGUCCUUGCCCACGCUUUAUCUGCUCUUUCAUACCUCCUGGGAACAAGAGAACUGAGAAACACAAGUACUUUAAAUGCAGCAACUGUGGUGACACCAGGAAGUAAGAAUUUCAGGAAGCUGCAGAAGUGCCCUUAUCAAACAAAUUGAGCGUCUUUGACACGUCAGGGAGGCUUUGUCAGCUCCUUCAGCAUCAGACCCAGGAGCCUCUUUGGUUUUCCAGCCCAGAUAAUGCAUGCAGAGGGCUGAAAACUAAGCCAGGUGUUG
rnacentral:lncRNA from 1 species